rnacentral:lncRNA from 1 species
GGCUUGCUCUCAUGCUUUCUUGUCCUUCUGCCUUCUGCCAUGGGAUGACACAGCAAGAAGCCCCUUGCCAGAUGUGGGCCUCUCGACCUUGGACUUCUUAGCUUCCAGAACUAGGAGCCAUUGAAGAAUACUGUUGUCCUAUCCCAGAAGGAGCAAGCGGACAACACUGAUAUCCUGACCACUAACCAUCCAGCACCACUUAAAGAGGUCCCAAAACCCCCAGCUGUCUACCAAUACCCGUCUGUGGCCUCUUAGGAACCGAGCUUCACAGCAGGAGGUGAAUGGUGGACAAGCGAGCAUUAUCGCCUCAGCUCCACCUCCUGUCAGUUUUAAAAAGAAUAACAGAAAGAAAGAAGUGGCUGAAACCUAAAUGCCAUAUGGAGAAGACAGCUAAUUGCCACACUCUCCUCUUUGGUCUUUCCUGGUACGCAGCAUACAAGCCCACAGAUUGAGGACUCUGCACUUGCUGUUCUCUCUGCCUGGAGCUCUAUGGCUCCAGAUAGACUCCUGCCAACUCCUUCGCCUUGUCCAAGUUACCUUCAUUAAAUGUCAGCUUAAAUGUGUGCCUACUUUUUGCCCUACCUAGAAUUGCAAGCACCUCUCACCACUGUGCUCCCAUUCUCCUUAACUUCAGCCACUUUUAUUCUCAUAAUAAAGCCACAUAUUUUUUCUUAUUAUAUCAUAAUCGUACUGUAUAAUUUAUAUUUUAUUACUUUUGUUUGUAUACUUAUUGUAUGUUUCUGUUC